AUAAAUAAUAGUUUUAUAUAAUAAUAAUAAUAUAUAUAUAUAUAUAUUAUUAUAUUAGUUAUAUAAUAAGGAAAAGUAAAAAAUUUAUAAGAAUAUGAUGUUGGUUCAGAUUAAGCGC
rnacentral:rRNA from 1 species